rnacentral:lncRNA from 1 species
GGCUUUUGUUGCCAGUUCUGAUUAAACUCACCCUAAUGCUAUAUGUGGGUCAUAUAAAUCUGCUUCAGUCCAGUAGGUAAAAAUGUCCAAGUCACUGCUUCUCCUUCUUGUUUAAUUAUUUCACAGGUUUGAUUUCACAUUGUCUCUCUCUUCGUAGGAAAUGACCAAGAUAAACACUGUCUUUGAUGGAGAAGCCAGAGACCCAGUCAGUGGCAAAAUGUAUGAAUACAAUUCAAAAUCUGGGGCCCGAAGAUGGAAAGAUACAAAGGAAUCAAUGGAGCCAGGAAUAAUGGAUCCACUUGCACAGGAAAUGACCAAGAUAAACCCUGUCUUUGAUGGAGAAGCCAGAGAUCCAGUCACUGGCAAAAUGUAUGAAUACAAUUCAAAAUCUGGGGCCCGAAGAUGGAAAGAUAUAAAGGAAUCAAUGGAGCCAGGAAUAAAGGAUCCACUUGCACAGGUAAUUUCAACUGCCCCAGCAAACAGCAGUGAAGGGAAAGACAGAACAGGGACUGCAAGCAAGCAAGAAGCUGGAACAACUGGCAGAGAGCUGGCAGCAGAGAAUAACAUGGCAGCAAAGCCCUCAGAAGGGAAGGCAGAAACUUCUAGCCAGGAUAGCCUGAAAUUACACAAGCCAAAAGAUGGAGCUGGGGGCAGGGGAUCAUCCUCACCAGGCAGGUCACCAGUGCCAUCUCCCAAAAUAUACCCUCAGUUACAGCCAAAACCAGCCUCAAAGAAUGUGGUGUGAAGCUUUUGGGAGCCAUCCCAAAACCUUCACCCUGUCACUAGAACAUUAACAGAUUCCACAGACAAGAGGGGCUUGUGCUUCUUACUCAACACCUUUCUUAGUGUGUGGGAUGUGGUGAAUGGACAGAACGAUGUAAAUUACACCCAAAUGUAGGGCCACAUUGUCCCUGCGCCUGUGUGGAUGCAUGAACUUGAGGAGGGAGGAAAGGGUACAAUGAGCUUCUCCAUUCCCCUGUGUGUCACUCCACAUAGGACCAAACCAUAAAUGCAAUCCUCAUGCUCCCCAUAACACAAAAACUGUUGGCUAAUGCAGCUAGAAGCAUGAGCCACCCCAGCAGGGUGGGUGGGAGGUGAGGCCAUGGCCAUCUUAGAACAUGUUCUUAGGGCAUGUAGCCACUGGCACACUGAGUGUGUGCGUGUAUGCGAGUGUUUGACCCACACACCUCCUGGGUGUGAUAAUCUGUCCCAUCUAGUGGUACCAUGACCACUUAGAGAGAGAGAGAUUAAUGAGUCUAUUCUCCAGCCUUAGCUAAGGGGCAUAUGGCUUUUAGCUCAUGCAUUUAGCGCAAGAGGUCCCCCAUUCAAUCCCGUCCACCAACAACAGUGGUCUGUUGGUGUUACAUGCAUGCAUGAGAGAGAGAUUCAGAAAGUGUUGUGUCUCUAUUCUGCCUCACCGUGUGCCAGUACCUGAAAGGCAGAAUUGCACCCAGAAUUGCAUUAAAAUGAUGGGGGGGUUGGGGAUGUAAAUGUGAACAAGGGUUGUCACAAGUUUUUAUGAAUUAAAGUGGAAACAAGUUUGUGUCUGAACUUCCCUCUGCCAUGGCGGCGGAGUCCCAAACACCACAGCUGCGAGCUCAUCCAAAAAUGCCAGAAAAGCACAAAAUGAAGCUGACUUUAAAAAAAAAAAGGAAACUGAACAAGUUUGUUUCAUUGUCCAAACUGAGUGAGUGGCUAAAAGAAAAUCAUCAUCAUAAAGAAAAAAUGUAAGUUAGAAUUUACACAUUCAGUUUAAAUAGUCUAGUAUUUUGUUGGUAAGAGCUAAGUGCUUUUCACACAGGAUUUUUAUCUGUACCCCAUCCUUUGUGACUUAGAAAUGAAUAUGUUUUGAAAAUAUUUUUGAAUGGAAAAAUCUCUAGCUUCUCUUGUUGUAUUAGGUCCUCCUGUUACAGUUCAUAGUUUAUUUUGCUUUUGUAACUUUAUUACUGUUCAGUUUCAUCAUGUUCUGUGCUUUUUGUAUUUUGCAAAAUCAAGCUGAAUAUACCCAGAAGAAAAAUGAUUUCAUAAUGUAUGUUACAAAACUGGUUCAGUCUGAUAAUGUAUGAUGUUUAUCCUGUGCACAAUACUGAAACAGGAAAAAAAAGUGUUACAUCAUUGCAAGAAAUUGCUAGUUUGCAAACAAAAAUAUUUAUGAAUAAUGAAUUAAUUUUCAGAAAUCCUCUGCUUUUUUUUUUUUAAUACAACCGGAACGAUCUGAUCAGCUCAAUGGCAGCAGAAAAUGUUCGGGCUCAAGUUAGAUGAGGAUCUUAAAUUCUAAUUUUAUUUUAUCUUAACUUUUCCAGUGUGUCAGUCUGUACCAUGUUAUGGGGGAGUACCCUUAUUUCAGAUCCCAAUCUAGUAACAGUCUGAGUUUCCCGGAGUGACUGGGAAAGCACACAAGACUUGAUUCAAUUCCCUUGCUGUGGAAGAGCUAUGACAACUUCAUUGGUUGGGUUCCUACUAACUGUAAGGCUGUCCCUUGUGGUGUUGCAUUAGCACACUGCUUCUGAGGGCCUGGGAGGGAUUUGGCUCAUGAACUAUUUUAUUAGGAAACACCAACUGCAAUUGGAAAAGAAGAAAGCAGGGAAAAGCUCUUCAGUCAUGACAACAUUUCACUUAGCAAUUAGAAACCCAAAUUUAUCUUUAAUACCACAGUGCUAGAGAUAGGAAAGAGUGAUUCACUGUCUUUGCACAGUCUGGGCAUGUUACCAGUUACUGUGUCUGUGCUGGUUGUUAUAGUGUUGCUUGACCUUUGAGCACCAACAUUACUAGUCACCUAUUCAGAGCUCCAGUCCACCAUUGUUUGUAGUGGUUUCAUGUAAACAAAACACAUCCCAUUUCUGCAUGAGCAGCUUUCCAGUGGAAUAAGAAGUGUUGCAGUAACUGGUACUGGCAUUGUAACUCUUAUCUUUUCAUCAGCAUGGUUCGGAGAUACCCACAGGUACACCUGUCACUGAUAAAGCAACUUCAAAAUCUUCAUCACUCACAGAAAUGAAUUGCAUUAUACUUAUUAUAAGAAGACAGCCUGAACUUCUCAGUCUGCCCUUAUUGGCAUUCCUAUGGUGCUCAUCACUAUAGUUUCUGAAUGUCCCACACAUCACCUUUGGAAGAUAGGGAAUCAUUAUCCCCCUUUUACAGAUGGAGAAACUGAGGCACAAAUAGCUCCUAACAUCACUCAGAAAGCCUGUGGCAAAGCUGGGGGUAAAAAUCAGCUCUCCUGGUGCCUAGUCCUGUGCCUGAACCACAUGACUCCUCCAUUCUAGGGAGAAAAUUGUCAAAAAUUAUGCUUGCAACAGUAACACAGAUGACAUCAAGCUCUCUUGCUUACCACCCCCACUAAUAGAACCAUCAUGCAAAUAGCUCAUUGCCUAGAUCAGCAACUGCAUGAAAAGCAGCAGACUGAAACUCGGCUUGAGCGAGACAGAAUUGUGUUGGUGGGACGCCAUAAAUGUUUUGAAGGUUUAGUCACUGAAACAGCAGCUCCCCUACAAUCUAUGGCUCCCGGGACUCCUCCUACCAUCUGAGGUUGGCUUGAGGUUUGGCCCUAUAUUGCUGGGCUGCGACUUGGGCACAGUGGAAGACAUGCUUUUGAGAGUCCCAUGCAGCUCACUGUAUGUGGGAACGAGUGAACUGACCGUAACGCUCCAACUGCUUUAGAACACAACAUCCUUAGCCACCAUGGUUGGUGAACAUACCUCAUCCCAGUACUCUGCUCACUACACUGGCUCCACAUAGAGAACUCCAUAUACACUUCAACUUGGUCCUCAUCUUUAAGGACUUCCAUGACCAUGGACCAAGCCACAUAAAAAUGCCUCUUGCUCAGGAAACCCAAGUUCCUUCAGGAGCUAAGUUUCACUGGGACUAUGAAAGUGUCAACGUCAUGCUAAGGGGACAGAGCUUUUUCCAGCACCUGGCCCAGUGCUAUGGAACUCUUUCCCUGUUAGGAGGAGUUGAGAAUGACCAUGAGUCUCCUCACUUUCAGGAAAAAAAUGGAAAAUCCAAUUCUUUAGCCUAGCUUUGCCACAGCAAAAGUUCUAAGGCUAAGGCAGUAGGAUGAAGACAAGAGGUAUACACCUUAAAAAUAUACAAUACACUAUGUAAUAAAGCUUCUAGCCACAUUUUGGGGAGGAGGAAG